rnacentral:rRNA from 1 species
AAAAAGCUCGUAGUUGGAUUUCUGUCGAGGAUGACCGGUCCGCACUUUGUGCGUGCAUCUGGUUCAGCCUUGGCAUCCUCCUGGGGAACGUAUCUGCGCUUAAUUGCGUGGUGCGGUAUUCAGGACUUUUACUUUGAGGAAAUUAGAGUGUUCACGGCAGGCAAUCGCCUUGAAUACAUUAGCAUGGAAUAAUAAUAUAGGACCUUGGUCCCAUUUUGUUGGUUUCUGGAACUAAGGUAAUGAUUAAUAGGGACAAUUGGGGGCAUUCGUACUUAACUGUCAGAGGUGAAAUUCUUGGAUUACGUUACGACGAACUACUGCGAAAGCAUUUGCCAAGGAUGUUUUCAUUGAUCAAGAACGAAAGUUCGGGGAUCGAAGAUGAUUAGAUACCAUCGUAG